GAGUUUGAUCCUGGCUCAGAACGAACGCUGGCGGCAGGCCUAACACAUGCAAGUCGAGCGCGCCUUUCGGGGUGAGCGGCAGACGGGUUAGUAACGCGUGGGAAUAUGCCCUUUGGUACGGAAUAGCCUCUGGAAACGGAGAGUAAUACCGUAUGAGCCCUUCGGGGGAAAGAUUUAUCGCCGAAGGAUUAGCCCGCGUUAGAUUAAGUAGUUGGUGGGGUAAUGGCCUACUUAGCCCCCAAUAAAUACAAGGUUUUUUAGGACCCUUCUUUUAACUGGGGCGGGGGCACAGAAUUAGUCCUGGCUUGAGGUUCUAAAGGGACAUCAUGUACCAUCAUGAACGGAACUGCUUUUUUAUCCCGUGAGAUGCAUUUACGACCCGAGGGCCUUCAUCCUCCACGCANGGUAUACAAAAUAAUUUCACUGCCACCCAAAAAUACUUUCUGCUGCCAGCCGCACCUGUCUUGCGGAUGGUCCACUACUCAUAAUAUAUAACGUCCUCCCACAUCGGCUACUCCUCCCCACACCAACUAAGCCUUGAGCACACGAACUCAUCAACAAGCCAUAAAUUCUUCCAAAAGCGAUAGCUUGCUCCCACAUCGAUGUUGUCGCCCUUCCGGUAAGAANGGGACGUUCGACUANCUAGCGCGACCGUCCGGGGUGAUUCCCANGGGGUGNGCCUUCUUUCACGUNNAUGUAUUCAACUGGUGNUACCCNAUACACUAAUAAGCAUGCANANCUAAUCCACCCCGCCCCCGGUGGAGCUCGGACAACACACAUCGCU
rnacentral:rRNA from 1 species